AUACGUAGGGUGCGAGCGUUGUCCGGAAUUACUGGGCGUAAAGAGCUCGUAGGUGGUUUGUCGCGUCGUCUGUGAAAUUCCGGGGCUUAACUCCGGGCGUGCAGGCGAUACGGGCAUAACUUGAGUACUGUAGGGGAGACUGGAAUUCCUGGUGUAGCGGUGAAAUGCGCAGAUAUCAGGAGGAACACCGGUGGCGAAGGCGGGUCUCUGGGCAGUAACUGACGCUGAGGAGCGAAAGCAUGGGUAGCGAACAGGAUUAGAUACCCUGGUAGUCCAUGCCGUAAACGGUGGGCGCUAGGUGUAGGGGUCUUCCACGACUUCUGUGCCGUAGCUAACGCAUUAAGCGCCCCGCCUGGGGAGUACGGCCGCAAGGUUGAAACUCAAAUGAAUUGACGGGG
rnacentral:rRNA from 1 species